ACCAACCUGUGGUCCUUCAGAUGUUGCAGAUGUUACAUCUAGGGAGUUUCAGGUUGCACA
rnacentral:pre_miRNA from 1 species